GGGUGAGAAUCGGUUGGCAACAUUCAAGAAACAACUUGAAGAAGAUAAAAAAAUCGUGACUUGACGUAGUAAUUUAAGUAUACUACAGAAGGCUCGAUAUUUCUUCCAGCAGUUGAUUGCAUUGCAGGAGUUAGUUACUACCACGACAUGUCAAAUCUACUUCAUUCGAGGACUCAUUCAAUGGUAGGAACUCCAGCCUAUAUUGCACCAUAGAUCAUUUCUGGGAAAGAUUAUGAUGGAAAGUUGAGAGAUGUAUGGUCCUGUGGAGUAAUUCUUUAUACAAUGGUUGUAGGAACAUUUCCAUUUGAGGACAAAAGUGAUGGUCAAAAUCUCAGAAAAAUGGUUCAGAGAGUUUCGACUGUUUAAUACGAGUUCCCCGACAAUGUUUUAAGCAAAGACAGCAAAAAUCUGAUAUCUCGUAUUUUUGUGGCAAAUCCAUCAAAGAGAAUCACCAUGAAGGAAAUCAAGUCACAUCCAUGGUUUUUGAAGAACUUGCCUGAGGAGUUAACAAAAGGGGCUCACUAUGUCCACCACAAUGAAG